GCUCUGCUGCUUAUGACACUGGCUCCCAUGAGGCUGUUUUGCAAUAGUGUUAUUAAGAAUGUAUUUCUGGAAGUGGGGUGUGAAACUGCUAAAAGAUCAUAGGUGUUGGACAAACUUGGGAAGACAGGUUUGUAAGGACAGUGCAGAAGGCAAUUUUCCUAGUGAAUUACAGCUGUGCUGAUUGCUGAGGAGUGGAAACAGCCUUGCCUGCCCACUGAGGAUGGGGGCUAUAAAAGAGUGGGGCGGCUGCUUGAGAGUAAAUUGGAGUUAGAGACUGAGAGUCUGCUGCAGUUUGGGAUGGUGCCUGCUGGCUGUGCUGUGAGGAGGAAGGGACAGACAAGCUUUGUCAGAAAAAUGCCAAAUGGGCACAAAGUGCUUCCAGACCAGUGGAAUAUACAUAGCAGUGGUGGUUGUGUGACAAUGCAGCAGGACAACAUGCUAGAGUGGAGAAAUUUUCAUCCAGAAAGGGCUUCACCCAUUGUAAGGGCUCCUUAGGAGCCAAGGUGUGUCUCCUGCUCCAUCCUUUGGCUAUUGUCAGAAGAAGAGACCUUGUGCUGAGUGCAAAUUCCAUGGAAGGAGGCAGCCCCAGCAGAAGUGCACACAGAGCAAGUACAGGAGGAAAGGCAGGUGUGUGAUAUGAAGCCUUGAGCAGCUGCCAGCAAGCUGAUCCGUGUGUUUAAUCACCUGGAGGAGUCCCAGAGCCCGUGUGACUCAGUGAGUGCCACCCAAGAGGGAAGCAUUACUGCGCCUGUAAGUAAUAUUCCUGUUUACUCCCACUGAUGCUUUAUGUAACAGUCCUCCUCUGCCCAUGACUGCCUGUCAGAGCUGGAGGAACUUUCCUUUUGAUGGAUGUCUUCAUGCUGGAGGGGAAUUGUGGGGAUUUCAGUAUGAAAUGGCCACCAGCAGGAACAGUGCCCCUGUCUGUGCUGUCUUCCAGAGGAACGUUGAGGCUUGAAGGUGAAUGAAGAUCCAAACACUGAGCACUGCAUUUAUUUUUCCUGGAUGUUUCUGUACCUGAAAUAGGAUUAUAAAAGGAAGAAUAUUUUCCUUUGGGAGAGUUGGUAAUCAGUAAGAUGCUUCCAGGGUUUUUGCAUUAAAAAUACAAAGUAGAGAUCCAAUAAUAAUAAUCUUGGCUGCUUUCUUUAUAUGGUGUUUUCUGACUUCUUUGCUGUGUUGUAUUUCCACUGAGUUGUAGAAGGCAAGGCUGUCUGUGGUAGGGAGAUGAUGCAGAGCCAAAUGUCCAAGUGUGUCCUUUGCAUUGAAGAACUGAUAAUUACACUCCAACAGCCCCACCCUACACCUCUAAUCAGCCACUCAUGUAGCAGCAGCAAAUGGAGGGAUAUUUAAGUUGCCUUGAAUGAUUAAGAAAUAAACCCCCUUUCAGUCCCUACCUGCAGAUAAUUCUGAGUAUUUUUCCCUUUUUGUGAGAAGUGGAAGGGGCAACAUAGUUAGAGAAAUGCUGUGGC
rnacentral:lncRNA from 12 species